ACUAUUUCAAUUUUAUUUAUUUAUAUUUUUUUUCUGGAUGGGUGAAUCAAUUUGAAAUAAAUAUUACAAAAGCUUAAGCUCAGACAUUGAGGCGACCGAGCGACGACCUCGACCGCUUCUAUAAGAUUAUAGCUGAUUACUUUGCUUCUCUAUCAAGUCCAACAAUUCAAUAAUAUAUUUAUUUUGUGCUUUUAUUUCAAUUGAAACGACAGAAUAUUUCACUGUUGUUCUCUCAGCGUUCUUUUCAAAUCAGUUCCGUAUUCGGUGUAAUGAUGGCAAGUCUUAAAUUUCUACAACUUAUUUGUCUUAUUUGUACAAUAAUUCACACAAUUAAUGGAUAUUCUGUAUUAGGAGGACGAAAUCAAUAUGAAGAAAUAAGCAUUAAAAAUCAAGGAAAUAGACCGAUCUUUAUGUUCUGCGAUCAAAUUAGCAACCAUUGGAAUUGUGUGAUGCAUUGCAAAUCUUGGGGCCACACAAGUGGACAUUGCGCCAGUGAUUUUUUAUGCAAUUGUCUGUGAUUUGAUACUUUUUGUAAUUUUAUUUGAUUAUUUUUAUUAUUAUAAUAUUAGUUAAUGUUUUAAGGGCAAAGAGGUGGUGUGAUUUGAAAAUAUAUAUCCUCUGGCACAAAU